rnacentral:rRNA from 1 species
CCCGCUGAGUUUAAGCAUAUCAAUAAGCGGAGGAAAAGAAACUAACAAGGAUUCCCCUAGUAACGGCGAGCGA